GGCAUUGUGGCAGAGCGGUCUAAUGCGUAUGGUGGGUCAAAUAUCCCUUUCUCCAUGAAAGGCCAACGUCGCUAACCCGUAUCUAUAGACUCGAACAUUACGAUUAAUCAUAUCUCCUCGGAGGCGCCCGUUCGAAUCGGGCCAAUGUCG